rnacentral:rRNA from 1 species
UACGGAGGGUGCGAGCGUUGUCCGGAAUUACUGGGCGUAAAGGGCGCGUAGGCGGCCUUCUAAGUCAGACGUGAAAUCCCCCGGCUUAACCUGGGAACUGCGUCUGAUACUGGGAGGCUUGAGUAUGGGAGAGGGAUGUAGAAUUCCAGGUGUAGCGGUGAAAUGCGUAGAUAUCUGGAGGAAUACCGGUGGCGAAGGCGGCAUCCUGGACCAUAACUGACGCUGAGGCGCGAAAGCUAGGGGAGCAAACGGG